rnacentral:rRNA from 1 species
CCUACGGGAGGCAGCAGUGGGGAAUAUUGGGCAAUGGGCGCAAGCCUGAUCCAGCAACGCCGCGUGAAUGAAGAAGGCUUUCGGGUUGUAAACUUCUUUUCUCAGGGACGAAGCAAGUGAUGGUACCUGAGGAAUAAGCCACGGCUAACUACGUGCCAGCAGCCGCGGUACUAAGUAGGGGGCAAGCGUGAUCCGGAUUUACUGGGUGUAAAGGGAGUGUAGGCGGCACUGCAAGUCAGAUGUGAAAACCACGGGCUCAACCUGUGGACUGCAUUUGAAACUGUAGUUCUUGAGUACUGGAGAGGCAGACGGAAUUCCUAGUGUAGCGGUGAAAUGCGUAGAUAUUAGGAGGAACACCAGUGGCGAAGGCGGUCUGCUGGACAGCAACUGACGCUGAGGCGCGAAAGCGUGGGGAGCAAACAGGAUUAGAUACCCGGGUAGUC